AGUGUGCCUGCUGGGUGCUCUGCUUGGCAAACUGCUCACUUUUUUCAGACCCCUCAGGUUGCCGUGCAGAUUAUCUAGCACAACACU
rnacentral:pre_miRNA from 1 species